GAUGAACGCUGGCGGCGUGCCUAAUACAUGCGAGUCGAGCGAACAGACGAGGAGCUUGCUCCUCUGACGUUAGCGGCGGACGGGUGAGUAACACGUGGAUAAACUACCUAUAAGACUGGGAUAACUUCGGGAAACCGGAGCUAAUACCGGAUAAUAUAUUGAACCGCAUGGUUCAAUAGUGAAAGACGGUUUUGCUGUCACUUAUAGAUGGAUCCGCGCCGCAUUAGCUAGUUGGUAAGGUAACGGCUUACCAAGGCAACGAUGCGUAGCCGACCUGAGAGGGUGAUCGGCCACACUGGAACUGAGACACGGUCCAGACUCCUACGGGAGGCAGCAGUAGGGAAUCUUCCGCAAUGGGCGAAAGCCUGACGGAGCAACGCCGCGUGAGUGAUGAAGGUCUUCGGAUCGUAAAACUCUGUUAUUAGGGAAGAACAAAUGUGUAAGUAACUAUGCACGUCUUGACGGUACCUAAUCAGAAAGCCACGGCUAACUACGUG
rnacentral:rRNA from 1 species